rnacentral:miRNA from 1 species
UUUAUACGUCGAAUUUUGGUCGCGUCGAAUGCAAUUCAAACAAUAGAUAUAAUGAAUUAAUAGGUUAGGUUUAUCAUCUCAUUAUCUAUUGUUUUAAUUGCAUUCGACGCGACCAAAAUUCGACGUAUAAA